rnacentral:rRNA from 1 species
UUGCGGUUAAAAAGCUCGUAGUUGGAUUUCUGUUGAAGAGGGGCGGUCCGCACUGUGUGCGUGUAUCUGCUUCCGCUUUGGCAUCCUCUUGGGGUACGUAACUGUGCUUGAUUGCAUGGUGCGGAAUUCAAGACUUUUACUUUGAGGAAAUUAGAGUGUUCACGGCAGGCAAGCGCCUUGAAUACAUUAGCAUGGAAUAAUAAUAUAGGGCCUCGGUUCUAUUUUGUUGGUUUCUAGAACUGGGGUAAUGAUUAAUAGGGAUAAUUGGGGGCAUUUGUAUUAACGCGUCAGAGGUGGAAUUCUUGGGUUGCGUUACGACAAACUACUGCGAAAGCAUUUGCCAAGGAUGUUUUCAUUGAUCAAGAACGAAAGUAUGGGGAUCGAAGAUGAUUAGAUACCGUCGUAGUCCAUACCUAACUAUGCC